rnacentral:rRNA from 1 species
CCUACGGGAGGCAGCAGUGAGGAAUAUUGGACAAUGGGCGCAAGCCUGAUCCAGCCAUGCCGCGUGCAGGAUGAAGCAUCUAUGGUGUGUAAACUGCUUUUAUACAGGAAGAAACCUCCCGACGUGUCGGGAAUUGACGGUACUGUAAGAAUAAGGAUCGGCUAACUCCGUGCCAGCAGCCGCGGUAAUACGGAGGAUCCAAGCGUUAUCCGGAAUCAUUGGGUUUAAAGGGUCCGUAGGCGGGCCAGUAAGUCAGUGGUGAAAUCUCUCCGCUCAACGGGGAAAUGGCCAUUGAUACUGCUGGUCUUGAAUUAUUAGGAAGUAACUAGAAUAUGUAGUGUAGCGGUGAAAUGCUUAGAGAUUACAUGGAAUACCAAUUGCGAAGGCAGGUUACUACUAAUGGAUUGACGCUGAUGGACGAAAGCGUGGGUAGCGAACAGGAUUAGAUGCCCUGGUAGUCCACGCCGUAAACGAUGGAUACUAGCUGUUGGGGGCAACGUUCAGUGGCUAAGCGAAAGUGAUAAGUAUCCCACCUGGGGAAGUACGUUCGCAAGAAGUUAGAAGUACGAAGAGUUAGAGGCGNGAGAGAGCGACGGACGACGACGAGGGAGGAGGAG